AUCCGCCGGCGACCGGCGCACGGGUGCGGAACGCGUAUGGAACCUGCCCCUGUCAGGGGAAUAGCCCAGGGAAACUUGGAUUAAUGCCCCAUGGUACCGCGAUAUCGCAUGAUAUUGCGGUUAAAGAUUUAUCGGACAGGGAUGGCCAUGCGUACCAUUAGCUAGUUGGUAAGGUAACGGCUUACCAAGGCAACGAUGGUUAGGGGCCCUGAGAGGGGGAUCCCCCACACUGGUACUGAGACACGGACCAGACUCCUACGGGAGGCAGCAGUGAGGAAUAUUGGACAAUGGUCGGAAGACUGAUCCAGCCAUGCCGCGUGCAGGAUGACGGCCCUAUGGGUUGUAAACUGCUUUUAUACGGGAAGAAACCCGCCUACGUGUAGGCGGCUGACUGUACCGUAAGAAUAAGGACCGGCUAACUCCGUGCCAGCAGCCGCGGUAAUACGGAGGGUCCGAGCGUUAUCCGGAAUCAUUGGGUUUAAAGGGUCCGUAGGCGGGCCUGUAAGUCAGGGGUGAAAGUUUGUGGCUCAACCAUAAAAUUGCCUUUGAUACUGCAGGUCUUGAGUCAUGGUGGGGUUGCCGGAACAUGUGGUGUAGCGGUGAAAUGCAUAGAUAUCACAUAGAACACCGAUCGCGAAGGCAGGUGACCAACCAUGUACUGACGCUGAUGGACGAAAGCGUGGGUAGCGAACGGGAUUAGAUACCCCGGUAGUCCACGCCGUAAACGAUGGAUACUAGCUGUGGGGACUUCGGUCUCCGUGGCCAAGCGAAAGU
rnacentral:rRNA from 1 species